GUUUUCGUAGUGUAGUGGUUAUCACGUGUGCUUCACACGCACAAGGUCCCCAGUUCGAACCCGGGCGGAAACA
rnacentral:tRNA from 1 species